AUCAAUGGUGAUAGCGUAACUUUGUUGGUGAGGGUAGCAUUUCUAGAGAUUUCUGAAAAUCAGUCAUAAUUUCCAAGUGCUGCGUUUCAUUACACUUUUCCUCACCCUGCUACAUCCAGGGCUUUGUUUCCAGGGUGGGCUGGAAUGCUUUAAAACAAGCACUCGUCUGUACUAUUAUUCCUUCCUUCCUCUUUGGAGCUGUGAAAGGCCACCAGGGCCUGUCUCCAGGACUCUCCCUAUAAAGGAUGUUUUCUUUAUGCAGACAAAGGCCACGGGGAAAUUAAGGAUAAAUCCACCUCCGUGCUUUCCGCGCCUUCUUAUACCAUGGAAUAACACCUCAGAGCAGAUCCUCAAGGCUGCAACUCAAAUUCCAGAUUCUGAUAUCUCCUGUAAUACCAACUAAAAGUCUUUAGGACCAACACUGAGAGGAAAAACAUGGCCCAGGGCAGUUUUCUCACAGUAAGGAAUGUGGAAGGUUAACCCCAGAUGUUCCUCCAUCUCUACAAAGUAGCAGAUGGCAAAGUGCAACAUCAGGGGUGCAUUUGACUGCCUGAGGAGCUGAUCCUGGAAGAAAAACCUCUGAGACCUGUGCAGCAGUCCAGAGCUCUGCUUGCAGCCAGGCAAAGGAAGUACCUGUAGUAGGGAAGAAUCAAAGCUGGGUAAUGAAGUGUGUUGCUCUCUUUACGCUUCCUGCUUUGACAAAUGCAAAGAUAUGCAGGUGAAAGUAGAAAUAUCAGGAGAAGAAGGGGAAAGGCUCUAAUUAUUGAAAAACAAUUUUUGACCUAGGAGACCUAAUUCUAUUCAAAUCCCUGCAUCAGAACUCCUCCAAGAUGCUAGUAAAGUCACUAAAGCCAAACUCUGAGAAGUUGGUCUGUUAGAGGAGGCCCAAACUGCUCUGAAAAGCAAUGCUCUCACAGGAGGUGAAUGAGAUUUGCAAAGCCAUGGAACACUGCCUUUAUUUUAUGCUUUCUAAGUACCUCAGUGUAGAACUUAGGCUUUGAUUUACAGAGCGUUGGAGCAGUCACACCUGCAACCAAAAUCAAUAGUGGGAGCUGUACUUUGACUGCAUGAAGCAUUGUAUAGUGUAAUGCUAACAUCUCUGAG
rnacentral:lncRNA from 1 species